rnacentral:snoRNA from 1 species
AGUCUUUCAAGAAAAAUGAUUAAGAAAGAAGGCAAGAGUGGCUACACUGAGACACAGGUUAUGCUUCUAUCAUAGCAAGUUUAUUGUAGUGGUGACAAUGUAACAUUUUUCACCA